rnacentral:rRNA from 1 species
GAUGAACGCUGGCGGCGUGCCUAAUACAUGCAAGUCGAGCGAACAGCCGUGGAGCUUGCUCCUCUUACAUUAUCGGCGCACGGGUGAGUGACACGUGGAUAACCUACCUAUAAGACUGGGAUAACUUAGGGAAACCGGAGCUCAUACCGGAUAAUAUAUUUAACCGCGUGGUUCAAUAGUGAAAGACGGUUGUGCUGUCACUUAUACAUGGAUCCGCGCCGCAUUAUCUAGUUGGUAAGGUAACGGCUUACCAAGGCAACGAUGCGUAGCCGACCUGAGAGAGUGACCGGCCACACGGGACCUGAGCCACGGCCCAGACUCCUACGGGAGGAAGCAGUAGGGAAUCUUCCGCAAGGGGCGAAAGCCUGACGGAGAAAGGCGGCGGGGGUGAGGAAGGUCUCCGGAUCGUAAGACCCUGUUAUUGGGGAAGAACAAAUGUGUAAGUAACGAUGCACGUAUUGACGGUACCUAAUUAGAAAGCCACGGCUAACUACGUG